rnacentral:rRNA from 1 species
AGAAUCAACGCUGGCGGCGUGCCUAACACAUGCAAGUCGAACGAGAAAGUGGAGCAAUCCAUGAGUAAAGUGGCGACCGGGUGAGUAACACGUGACUAACCUACCUUCGAGUGGGGGAUAACAUCGGGAAACCGAUGCUAAUACCGCAUAACAUCGCAAGAUCAAAGCAGCAAUGCGCUGGAAGAGGGGGUCGCGGCUGAUUAGCUAGUUGGCGGGUAACGGCCCACCAAGGCGAAGAUCGGUA